rnacentral:rRNA from 1 species
AUUGAACGCUGGCGGCAGGCCUUACACAUGCAAGUCGAGCGGAGCGGCGGACGGGUGAGUAAUGCCUCGGAAUCUGCCUGGUAGCGGGGGAUAACGUCCGGAAAGGGGAGCUAAUACCGCAUACUAUCAGAUGAGCCUAGGUCGGAUUAGCUAGUUGGUGGGGUAAAGGCUUACCAAGGCGACGAUCCGUAGCUGGUCUGAGAGGAGGAUCAGUCACACUGGAACUGAGACACGGUCCAGACUCCUACGGGAGGCAGCAGUGGGGAAUAUUGGACAAUGGGCGAAAGCCUGAUCCAGCCAUGCCGCGUGUGUGAAGAAGGUCUUCGGAUUGUAAAGCACUUUAAGUUGGGAGGCGUUACCAACAGAAUAAGCACCGGCUAACUACGUGCCAGCAGCCGCGGUAAUUC